GCUUACACAUGCAAGUCGAGCGGGCGUAGCAAUACGUCAGCGGCAGACGGGUGAGUAACGCGUGGGAACGUACCUUUUGGUUCGGAACAACCCAGGGAAACUUGGACUAAUACCGGAUAAGCCCUUACGGGGAAAGAUUUAUCGCCGAAAGAUCGGCCCGCGUCUGAUUAGCUAGUUGGUGAGGUAACGGCUCACCAAGGCGACGAUCAGUAGCUGGUCUGAGAGGAUGAUCAGCCACAUUGGGACUGAGACACGGCCCAAACUCCUACGGGAGGCAGCAGUGGGGAAUAUUGGACAAUGGGCGAAAGCCUGAUCCAGCCAUGCCGCGUGAGUGAUGAAGGCCCUAGGGUUGUAAAGCUCUUUUGUGCGGGAAGAUAAUGACGGUACCGCAAGAAUAAGCCCCGGCUAACUUCGUGCCAGCAGCCGCGGUAAUACGAAGGGGGCUAGCGUUGCUCGGAAUCACUGGGCGUAAAGGGUGCGUANGCGGGUCUUUAAGUCAGGGGUGAAAUCCUGGAGCUCAACUCCAGAACUGCCCUUGAUACUGA
rnacentral:rRNA from 1 species